GCCGGAGCCGGAGCCUGCUCUAGGCAGCUGCAACAAAAACCCGGAGCCGGAGCUGUGGCCUGAUUCGGAUCGGACCUGCCUUAUAGUGCAACAGCAUCUCUCACAGACGUGAACAGCAGCGGUAGAACACUGGUGACGGAACAAAGACGUCGCUGGGACGAUGGUUCUGGGACUACCAAAGAGACAGGGAGGAGGAUGAGAAGAUGCUUA